AUUGAACGCUGGCGGCAGGCUUAACACAUGCAAGUCGAGCGGGGAAGUGUAGCUUGCUACAUUACCUAGCGGCGGACGGGUGAGUAAUGCUUAGGAAUCUGCCUAUUAGUGGGGGACAACAUUCCGAAAGGAAUGCUAAUACCGCAUACGUCCUACGGGAGAAAGCAGGGGAUCUUCGGACCUUGCGCUAAUAGAUGAGCCUAAGUCGGAUUAGCUAGUUGGUGGGGUAAAGGCCUACCAAGGCGACGAUCUGUAGCGGGUCUGAGAGGAUGAUCCGCCACACUGGGACUGAGACACGGCCCAGACUCCUACGGGAGGCAGAAGUGGGGAAUAUUGGACAAUGGGGGGAACCCUGAUCCAGCCAUGCAGCGUGUGUGAAGAAGGCCUUAUGGUUGUAAAGCACUUUAAGCGAGGAGGAGGCUACUCUAGUUAAUACCUGGGGAUAGUGGACGGUACUCGCAGAAUAAGCACCGGCUAACUCUGUGCCAGCCGCCGCGGUAAGAC
rnacentral:rRNA from 1 species